GGAAGGAUCAUUAUCGUACAAAAUGUGAGGGGCAUGUGAGGGCUGUCGCUGACUCAAAGUCGUGCACGCCCGAGUGUGUCCUCUCACAUAAUAAUCCAUCUCACCCUUUGUGCAUCGCCGCGUGAGCACCCUUUGGGAUCAUCUCGGAGGGGGCUCGCGUUUUCACACAAACCCCCCUUUUAAAAGUGUAGAAUGACCUCAUUUAUGCGCUAACACGCAAUCAAUACAACUUUCAACAACGGAUCUCUUGGCUCUCGCAUCGAUGAAGAACGCAGCGAAAUGCGAUACGUAAUGUGAAUUGCAGAAUUCAGUGAAUCAUCGAAUCUUUGAACGCACCUUGCGCCCCUUGGUAUUCCGAGGGGCACACCCGUUUGAGUGUCGUGAAAACCUCAACCUCCUUGGUUUCUUCUGGAGACCAAAGGCAGGCUUGGACUUUGGAGGCCUUUGCUGGAACCUCUCUCUUUUGAAGGCCAGCUCCUCUUAAACGAAUUAGCAGGGUCCUCUUU
rnacentral:misc_RNA from 1 species